CCUACGGGUGGCAGCAGUGGGGGAUAUUGCACAAUGGGGGAAACCCUGAUGCAGCGACGCCGCGUGUGGGAAGACGGUCCUCUGGAUUGUAAACCACUGUUCUCCGGGACGAAGAUGACGGUACAUGGGGAGGAAGCUCCGGCUAACUACGUGCCAGCAGCCGCGGUAAUACGUAGGGAGCGAGCGUUGUCCGGAAUUACUGGGUGUAAAGGGAGCGUAGGCGGGGAUGCAAGUUGGGUGUCAAAACUACCGGCUCAACUGGUAGUCGUACUCAAAACUGCAGCUCUUGAGUGAAGUAGAGGCAGGCGGAAUUACUAGUGUAGCGGUGAAAUGCGUAGAUAUUAGGAGGAACACCAGUGGCGAAGGCAGCCUGCUGGGCUUUUACUGACGCUGAGGCUCGAGAGUGUGGGGAGCGAACAGGAUUAGAUACCCGGGUAGUC
rnacentral:rRNA from 1 species